rnacentral:rRNA from 1 species
UACGGGGGGGGCAAGCGUUGUUCGGAAUUACUGGGCGUAAAGGGCUCGUAGGCGGCCAACUAAGUCAGACGUGAAAUCCCCAGGCUCAACCUGGGAACUGCGUCUGAUACUGGUUGGCUUGAAUCCGGGAGAGGGAUGCAGAAUUCCAGGUGUAGCGGUGAAAUGCGUAGAUAUCUGGAGGAACACCGGUGGCGAAGGCGGCAUUCUGGACUACAACUGACACUGAGGAACGAAAGCCAGGGGAGCAAACGGG